GGGGGCGGUGCGCAUCUUCCGCGUGGACGGCUCGGUCCUCAGCCUGACCGCCCCCCGGCCACAGCGGGCCCGGAGGGGUGGCUCUGGGGAGGGUAAGGCUCGUAGCGGGCGAGUGGCGGAGGGGAAGUGAUUCGUUUCCCUGAGAGAUGAGUGAAAAGGUCCUAAUGCUACCGUGGAACCAUCCCAUCUGCCCCAGUCUGCAUCCUUCCAGUGAGGCAUCCAGAGGAACCAACUGCACUUCCAACUGACCAGAGGAGACCAGGAGACCUGAGUUUAUGUCCCACAGGACUUAUACAGUGUGUGAGGGCUGAUCUCACAUUGCAUACACUUUUAGGACACUUAACAGGGUGUGUCUUUAUACACUCUCCUCAUGGAUUAGUCUGUAGGAAUGCAGUAUCUUUGACUCACUUUCCUACUCAGGUUUCAUUGAAACUGGCCACCAGAUUCCAUGCUCCUUGGAAGGAUUGGCAGUUGCUAGACAAGCAGGCAGAUGUACACAUUCAGACAGCAUAAAAAAUAUUUACUUAAGCUUCCUUUUCUAAGAAAACCUUUCUAAAAAGGUAGAACUGAGAAGAUGUUUGUCCAAUGCAAUCCUAAUCCUUUUCCUUGGAGAAGGUAUCCUUUCCAGGUUCCUCCACCUUACUUUUUUUCUUGACCAUGUUGUGACCUCUGAUUUUAUCCUUUUCUUCCUCUGAGACAAAAGUAGCAUUUUUAAUCAGAACCACUUAAGCUUGUGAGAUUGCCUUAUUUGCAUUUCCUUUCUCACCUCACCCUUCCUCUUCACACCUUCCUACAUUUCCUAGUGUACUUUCUGGGAACCUUUUUUCUGUCUAAACUCAGAUAAGUCCAUGUUUUUUUUGUUGUCAAUGUAUUAUAUCAUGCUAAUCUAAAAAAUGGCUGUGUUCUGUUUUCUUUAGGUUUUGCCAUAAAAGGGAACCUCACUGAAAAGAGCAGUAUAAGACCUUUCUUGGUGGUCCACAUGACUAUUCAUUUCUUCCUGCAAAUUACUGGUUUUGAAAUCUCUUCCAUUAUACUACAAGCACUUCUACUGGAGUGGCAUCUACCCUUCAAACUGAAGUUACUUUUCUAAGGCCUAGGAUAUGAAUGAACAUAUCCUUUCUGACUUUAGGAUCUCAACACAAUGUGAUGUCUCAUAGACCCUUUUAUCUCUACUAAUUGUUAAAUAUUUAAAAAGGAGUAGCAUAUGGUUGGUUACAUUAAGCUUGGAACCACAACAGAAUCCUUAAAUGGAACAAACUCUUGUGCAUUCUGAUGGCACUUUUUCUUUCUCUUGUGGAACAGAAAUUAAAAUGGCUUUUGAGCACAUGCACAAACAAUAAUUUUAUACUUAGCCUGAUGUCUCCCUUUAAUCUAUUUAUCUCAGUUGUGGUUUUCUCAAAACCAGUUCCAUGAAUCUCACUGAAGAGCCUCUUGGAGUCUAUUAAUACUUACGCUGGCACACACAGAAAAGAUGUCUACUACUUCUUCAGGUCACAGACAAGUGCCUGUUUUGUAUGUUGCUGAGAUUUCUUUUCCCUUCUUAUUUUAGCUAAAGGACAACUCAGUGGUUGCUCUGGCAGUCUCUAAAUCCAUAUUGCUUGUUCAAGGUGAAUUCAGUUAAUGGGCUUUGACUCAGAGAUCCCUCCUGUUCCCCUUUGGACAGAUAGUCCCAGAAACAACUUGACUUCACCAGUCUUGUGCUUUGCCUGAGGGAGCAGUUUACGUCAGGAAUGGAAAUUUAUAUCAGCUUGAAAUUUUUGAAAUCGCAUUUGAAACAGUACAUUCUUGAAACAGCAGGAAAAGCAGGGGCAUGGGUUGACAAGGAUGGGAGUUAGAGGGGGUUGGUGCAACCUCUUUCAAGUGCCUAGCACUAUGGAUUUACAUGAAGAUCAAUCUCUUCUUAGCGUACUGGAGUCUGGAGGGGUGCUCAGAGCACCUAAAUGAAACUUUAGUUGUGACUUGUCCCUGGGAGGGUCUCUCCCUCACAACAGUUAGUUGUGCAGAGAUUGUGUGGAGACUGUGGAAGGACUAUAUGAAGAUAAACUACCUGAUCUAGGAUCUGACACAUGAUCAUCCUCCUCCAAUGUUCACUUUGUCAAUGCAGUUUUACACAUAGAGAAGCCACUUGCCAGCACCUCUCUAGGAGUGAUUCGGAUGUAUGCUUGCCAACUGGAGAUAUUUGUAUUUCAGUGAAGUUACAGCUCCUGGUACAAAAUGUGAAAGCAUGUGUUAUUCUCAUGACCUGAUACUGCAAACUCGUGACAAUAGAUUAAUGUUAGUGUUAUUUAAUUCACAUGCAUUAGCAUAGGCAAUGCCAUCAACCUGCUACCUGCACUGUAGUUUCCAGUAUAGUGAUUCAGCUAUGCCAGUCCUGCAUGUUUGAUGUUUGCUUGCUUUGUGCAUUUUGCAAAUGCAGACCUGUGCAUGAGAAACAAAAUGAUAUGUUUGAAACUUACUGAAAUUGAGCCAGAGCUAUUGCUUCUUCCCUCCAGGUUCUGAAAUGUCUACUUUUCUGGUUAUAAGUUCCUCCUUUCCUUUGGAAGGGUUGAGCAGUUGAGUGUGAAAUGUGUCUGCAGAAGAAUUUUUGUAUUUCAUAUAUACAUUCUGAGUUUAACAAUUUUAAGAAAUCAGUGGCUUUAUUCUGCCUCAUGCAAAGUUCUCAAAAUUAGAGUGCUUAACCUGUAGAUAUCAAAAACAUACCUGAAUACAUCAGAAGGCAUAUAUUUUUGUAUCUAAGAUGUAGUCUUUGAUGAUCUUAUGCAUAAAUAAUUAUGAUGUGAGAUUCUUAGAUAGUACUGCAAAGCAAAAAGCACAUAAAGGCCGGGACUGAGCAAAUUUUGAUGCACAGAGAGAACAAAUCAUCUGGCAUCUCUGGAAAAGCCUCCUUGCCCAGAGCUUCCUUUGCUCCUCUCAUUAGUACACUAUUUCACUGGCCUAGAAAGUGUGAGUCUAGAUAUUGUUUCAUACCAUAUGGCGACACCGAGAGCUCUUUUGCACAGCACUAAGAAAAGCUAUGGUUAAAAAUGUCUGCCUUAAGAUCAGUUAAAACAGUUUUGGUUCACACAACCUGAUAGCACUGACAAAGGAUAUACAUUUGUUAAUCUAACAGUAAUUUUAAAUACUCAAUAGGUUUUACAGCUUGUUGAAGUUGGGGAAAUUUUGCAGAGCAAGCCAUUGGAAACUGAAGGGGAGAUAAGGAGAGACUAGUGGGUGGAAGCUGUCUGAUUUUGUUUUCUGGCAUGAAGAAUACCAGAGGGAAUUCUCUUUCCCAGACUACCACCCCCCUUUUUUCUUAUUUACACAUCAAUGCAUGAUUUUUUGGUGUCUAACAUUUCCAUAAUGCAAUCUGGUAAACCUAGCACAGCUGUUUUGAAAACCUGCCUCAUAUUUAAGAUUACUUUACUGUGUGCAAUCUUGUAUUUCACUUGCUAGUCAUGUUAUUUCUGGAUGUCAAGAUAGGCAAUGGCUAUAAAUAUGGAGGUAUGUUUCACAGUCACUAAGAUUUACUAUGCAGUGGUUUGCAAUAACCUCCAUUUUGCCUUUUGUCUGCAUUCUGUAUUCCAUGAGGCAAAAUUUAUCAUUAUUGAUAAACAUUGUCAUUAUUUUUGGAUAGUAUCAUAUGACGCGACAAAGCAACUUUCUCAUUUGCAAUCAAGUAUCAGGGGAACAAAACAAAACAAAUAAGCAAACCUGAAGCUCUUGAUCUCCAUGGAAUGUUAUUAAAAAUGCUUAUGUAAAGCUGUUUCGCAGUCAUCAGAGACAUGCAAUAUCAAUCCUGAAAUGUUGGUGCUGGCAGAAGUGAAAUCACAGCAUGUUUUCCGCAGUAUCCCACUUGAUGCACAACCUGUCUUUCCAAAUAUGUAGCUUCAUACUGGCACAGAGGAUAUCUUUGCCAGUAUUCUUCUAUCUUUCAUCAUAGGUUGUUAGACACACACUAGUCAUGCUAAUUUAGCUAAUCAAACUUGCUUUAUUUUUAUCCCCUUCUACUCCUUUUAUGCUAAAUUAUUUCAGCUGUUUAAAAAUCACAAGAGGCUCCCUUCAGCUGUUUUGUUUGGCAGAGUUUUCUUAAUCAAUUAUAAAUUUUUAAUUUUCAUGAGAUGGUUGUGGUGGGCAGGGUAAACAUGGCAUUUGUGAUCUUUAUUUUAUAUACUAUAGAGCAGGCCUACAAUGUUUCUCAGUCACUGCAUUUAGCUUUAGCUUUUACCUUCAGUUCUUGUGCCUACCCUUUAUAUUUCAGCUUCCCAUUUACAAAUGUUAUAGAGUUAUUAUUAUUAUUUUACAUAAAAUUUCUUCAGCUGUGUUAUCCUGUUUUAGUUUAGGACUGGAGGUCCAGAAACAAUAUACUGUUGUAGGGUCACUGGCUCUCACCUAUGGCAUUCCUUCUGUGGUUACAGUUUACUGUAAAAACACUCUGAUUUUUUAAAAAUGACUCUUUUUAAAAUUCCUGCUACAAAUCCUGAAGCAUUACUCACCCCUUUGAUGGUUAUAAAUCCACUUUUACAUUGUGCUUUAAAAUUUUCCACACCUUGCUGAAAUAUAUAUAUAUAUAUAUAUAUUAGGUGGAGAACUGUCCACUAAUUUAAAACCAUGUUUAUCACUCUUCCUCCCUUUCCUUCUACUGACCCAAUUUAUUUAUAGAAAAUAACUUAAUCCUCUCUUAGUCUUUCUCUUUGUAAGUUAAAUUAGACCAUUUCUUGUAUUAUUUUUCUUAAUACCUCAAUCUCUCCAUUCACCAGAUCAACCUGCUGGUCCUGGUCUGUACAGUAUCAGUUAAAAUUCAUCUUGCUUGUGCAGGAGGAACCAGAAUUGUGACAGUACUAUGGAAAAGGACUCAUUGGUGUCAUGUACAACAAAACUAAUAUUUACCUUUCUCUAUACAAGAAAUGCUGAGUUGAUAUAGGACCACACUUACUUCUUUAUGGUUAUAUUGCACUAACAUUACUGUUAUCCUCUGACUGAGGUGGACACAAUUCCCUCUAUUUGCUUGUCAGUUUGAUCACACCUGGAAAAGUGGAGAGUGCAUGAUCUUGUACUUCAUACUCUAAAAUUUCAACCCAUGCCUAUUACUCUAGCUUUCAAGGUCAUGCUACUCACUGUGGUAUUCCCAGUUUUCCUGUUCUACACAAAAUACUCUCUCGAUUUGCAACAUCGGCAUAUUUCAGAGACAUUUUACCACUUCACAAUAUAAAUUAGUGUUGGAUAUCUGCUCCCUCGUCUUCUCUGAAUUACUGUCUUGCCUAAAUUAGAGAAAGGAAUUAGCUGACUUUUGAAAGUCAAAAGUGCUAGUGGCUCUAAUUCUGCAGUCAUUUGAUGGCAAGGCUCGUUGACUGACACUCCUUGGCCAUGGGUCUCUUCAUAAGUGCAAGAAUUCACUAUUGCUAACCCAAGUAGCAAAUUGGUGCUAGAGGGGAGUAGAUUGCAUAUUGUAGGAAAAGAUAUCUGAUAGUAAAGGAAGGAUUGUGUUUGACUGUAGGUUGGAAAUGGAGCUCAGCACACUGUCAUUGCAACUUGAAAGCUAGUUUAUUGCUUGGGGUUAAUCCUGCCAGUGUUCUGAAGGAUGUCGGAACUGAAAGGGCAAAGAGACUUAAUAAGUGUAAUCAGCUAUAGAAGCGAAGAGUAGAACUCGUUUUUCCAAAGUGAUGAUUAUAAACCACUCAAUUAAGUAAACAAAGAAGUGGUUGAAACACCACCACUGACAAACAUCAGAUAAUAGAAUUAAUUAUAAACAGCAGCCAAAAUGCAGCAAAGAUGAACUAAUCAAAAUACUUAAUUAGUCUUUGAAGUAGCUACUUUCCUCCCUACCACUAUUUAUUACAAUUUUAUCUGGAGGUUGGUGUCUUUGGUAAGGCUCCAAAGUGUUAAUAACUAGUUUAAAAGCCUUAUGCUCCUACAAAAUAAUAAUGUUUUGAAACACAGUACAGUUCAGGCUGAAGCAGCAUGCUAAGUGAGGAUCACCUUGCCUUAAAUGGAUAGAUUAGAAGGCUGGUAUUACCUCUGUCUGCUCUGUAUUUAUUGUGGUGUUUAAGGAUUUUGAUUAUCCAUUCAUUUUUUAUCAGACUGUAGUCAUAGUUAACUCUUCCAAAGAAUACAGGUUAAUUGUCAUGGAGAUUAGGAGUACGAAGAAUCUGUAUCUAUAAAAACAAAUCCAUGGAUAGGAACAAAACUAAGGAUGUCAGUGAUAAUUUAGAAAUAAGGUCUCAAGUAUAAUCUAUGCAUAUGUUGCUGUCAUUUGAGGUAAAAACAAACAAACAAACAAACAAACAAACAAACACCAAACACUCAUACUGUUGUACUUAGGCAUGUAAGGAGCAGCUGUCCCAUGAUUUUUGAUUCAUGCUGUAGUUUCAAGGCCAAACAUGAUAAAGAGUAAUACAACUGCAGACUGGCCAUAUCAGUCACAACACAGAGAAUUUUCUUCUUCUUUCUUUUUUCUUUCUUUCUUUUUUUUUUUUUUUAAAGGUUUUUGGAAGAAGACAAAUUCCAUCCACUCAUUUUUUACCAGUGAAUUUCAAGGUGAUUCAAAGAUUUUUUUGUCCAAGUCUAUGAAAACAGGAACAUACAAUCUGUGCUUUUGGUGUCUCUCCACUCUCUUGUCUCAAAAGAAAUUAAAUGUAAUGGAAACACAUGUAGUACAACCAAUGCUUGUUUCAUGAGGUGGAUAAAGGUGUAUGGAUAAUACAUUAACACAGAAACAGAUUUCUGCUUUUUUAUUAUUUUUCUAGAAACAAACACUUAAAACUGUUAUCCUUCCUGUUACGAGCAAAAUAUUUUAUAUGCUCAUUUUUCACUGGUAUUCUUGGACAUUUUGAAUUAAUGUUAACAUAAAAAAUAAAAGUAAAGUGAAACAGGCUCUUCCUGUUGUCUGCAGAGAACAAAAUCCAUUCUGCUCUUCAAUCUUAGAGCUUCAAUCUAGUGUGUUGAAAGCUAUUUGGGCUCUUCUGUUUGUUCCAGCAGGGUUAAUGUUCUUCUAUAAUGACUACACAAGGAGGAACCCUUCAAGAGCAAGGACUGUUCCUUCCCAAGGGAAACUUCAAUAACCUCUCACUGGAGUAUGUGCCAGAGGUCACUGAGUAUGGGUAACAGAAUAAGAAGGGAGACAUUUCCAUCAUGAUGCUGAUGAUUCAAGAAGAGGUUGAGAAACUGCUGGGAAGACUGGAAAGCAGAAAUGUUGUGGAAAGCAAGGGAUAGAAGUAAGAGUGGUGAAGGAGCAGUAGAAUAAGCUAGCCAACAUCUGCCACUGCUCACUGAGUUUUGGGCUUGAUUGAGACCUAGAAACCAGAAGAGCAGAGUAUAAGAGAGGUGAUUAAAUCUUUUUGAUUUGUUCUGUCUUCCCUUGUAAUGUAACAACUUUCUCCAUAUAAAAGUUCAUAAUUGUUGUUCAAGUUCAA